rnacentral:misc_RNA from 1 species
AAAAGUUUCACCAUCACUACAACACAAAGAAGAAAGAAUAAGCAGGAAUGGCGAAUGUCAUGGAAGUGGUUGUAAAAAGAGCACACGUUUCAGCAAUAUAGGAACAAAUGCACAAUUUAUACCCACAAUAAUGAUAUGACAACUAAAAAAAAAUCAUACUGAUGGGAAUCAUUUUCCUUUUAAAAAAAAAAGAAGAGGAAGAAAAUG